ensembl:lncRNA
GCAACAUUGAUAAUGAUUCUGCUGGUGUUUCUGCUGUUGAUGGGUCAGGUGAUGUGACAUAUGCCCAGAUUCAACCAAAGAGGUUGGACAAGAAAGAAAUAGAAAAGCCAGCUGAUCCAAAUGAAAAUAGAGUCCACUCUGAGAUGAAGACAAUGAAAACUACAGCAUCGUCUGGACCUGUUGAUGUAACCUAUGCUGAGAUUGAUCUCAGAAAGAUGAUCAAAACCCAGAAGAAGAAAAAAUCAACAACCCUGCCAGAGUCAGAAUCAGUCUAUUCUCCAGUAAAGACAGCCAGAAUCCAGAGCCCUUGAGGGAGAUGAACACAAUCACAGAAAUGUGACACACACACACAUUAUCACAUUCAUGACGGAUUUGUUUCAAACUGUGCUAUCAACAGAUAUUUCUUUUUAUGUUACUUUUUUAAAUGACAUGGGGUAAUGACAAUGGAUGAUUUAUUUGAUCAUUAAUUCAUUUCUAAUUAAUUUGU